rnacentral:tRNA from 1 species
ACCUGGGUAGCUCAGUCAGUUGAGCAUCCGACUUCAGCUCAGGUAAUGAUCUCAUGAUUCGUGGGUUCGAGCCCCACCUUGGGCU